GGGUCUUCGGACCCGGGGAAAGCGGCGAACGGGUGAGUAACACGUGAGUAAUCCACCCCCGGCACCGGGAUAGCCCGAGGAAACUCGGAUUAAUACCGGAUGGCCCAACAGCUCUUCGGGGCGGUUGGAAAAGGUAGCUUAGGCCUCUGGCCGGGGACGAGCUCGCGGCGGAUUAGCUUGUUGGUGGGGUAAUGGCCUACCAAGGCGACGAUCCGUAGCUGGUCUGAGAGGACGAUCAGCCACACUGGGACUGAGACACGGCCCAGACUCCUACGGGAGGCAGCAGUGGGGAAUCUUGCACAAUGGGCGAAAGCCUGAUGCAGCGACGCCGCGUGAGGGAAGAAGGCUUUCGGGUUGUAAACCUCUUUCAGGAGGGACGAAGCUACUCGGGUUAAUAGCCCAGAGGGUGACGGUACCUCCAGAAGAAGCCCCGGCUAACUACGUGCCAGCAGCCGCGGUAAUACGUAGGGGGCAAGCGUUGUCCGGAUUUAUUGGGCGUAAAGAGCGUGUAGGCGGCUAGAUAGGUCCGUUGUGAAAACUCGAGGCUCAACCUCGAGACGCCGAUGGAAACCAUCUGGCUAGAGUCCGGAAGAGGAGAGUGGAAUUCCCGGUGUAGCGGUGAAAUGCGCAGAUAUCGGGAAGAACACCCGUGGCUAAGGCGGCUCUCUAGUACGGUACUGACGCUGAGACGCGAAAGCGUGGGGAGCGAACAGGAUUAGAUACCCUGGUAGUCCACGCCGUAAACGAUGGG
rnacentral:rRNA from 1 species